UACGUAGGGUGCAAGCGUUGUCCGGAAUUAUUGGGCGUAAAGAGCUCGUAGGCGGUUUGUCGCGUCGAAUGUGAAAACCCGGGGCUCAACCCCGGGCCUGCAUUCGAUACGGGCAGACUAGAGUUCGGUAGGGGAGUCUGGAAUUCCUGGGUGUAGCGGUGAAAUGCGCAGAUAUCAGGAGGAACACCGGUGGCGAAGGCGGGACUCUGGGCCGAUACUGACGCUGGAGGAGCGAAAGCGUGGGGAGCAAACAGG
rnacentral:rRNA from 1 species